UACCGCGACGUAGGGGUGUCGGGGGCCGCAAGAAGGCUUCCGACGCAAUCCGGGCGCGAGGGUCGGGCGGGGCGCACGUGUGGCUGGAGCAAUAACCGCCUCCGCGCGAAGACUUCGCACCAGAUUUCACCCGAACGUCGCUGUCGUCGGUCGCCAUGCUGCGCGCGCUGCUGCUGGUGGUGGUGGCGGUGGCGGUGCUUCCGCUCGGCGGCGCCGUGACCUCCCUGCAGGACAUGGAGUCCGCCAUCGUCAGCCUGGACGCGAAAAUGAGGGCGGUGGCCAACAGACUGCACCGACACGAGUCCAGGUGAGGCUCCGGCCAGUUACAG